GCAUUAUAUAAAAUGAUGAGUCUCUGUGUCUAAUUGUGCUAACUUUGCUAAUAUGUAGUGGAUUCACAUGAUCUUUUCCCACAAUUCCCAAUUUUUGAUCUGUCCUACUGCCUAAACUUUGAUUUCUUAGCCAUGAGCAAGUGACUGGCAAAGAAGACUGUCUCUUUGUUUUAAUUUGGACUUUAUUUACUGAAGAUAUAGAAACCUGUUCACUGACACUCAGCAAUCUCUUACUCCUCAAGGACUAUAGUAAAAUUUCCUCUUGUACUCAAGUUAUAGCUUGAGUUAUACUUUGCCUUACAGUUCUGCCAUAGGAAGACUAACAUAAACUGUCCCGAAGAGAAGAACUCCCUCCUGAAUAUCAGAAGUCUUCCAGUAACAUAACUUUGAACCACUGCUUAACAACAAAACUGCGUUGUCCACACAAGAGGAGCAGACACAAGUGAAAAGACUGAAAAGCAUCUGCUUGGGGAAAAUGUGCAGAAGGUCUCUGGUUCCCUACUCAAUUUUCCCAGUUAAGUGUAAGCAAAAGAAACAAGCACUGAGAGCUCCUGCUGCAGACGAAGUGCUGUUAUUCUGCUUCUACAGGCUGCUGCUCAAGCUGAGCUCUGCAGGGGAACAGGCUGCAUGGGCACUGAGAGAAAGAGCAAAAGAAAAUGCCAAGCAAAAUUAACUUAAGCAGGAAAAAUGCUGCCUUCUAAGAGUCUCCCUGCUUUAUUUUAUUGCCCAAAAGAAGAAAUUAGCUGUACAACUGUGGAAAUUUGCAAGGAACGAUAACAAUAUGAAGACAAAAACUGAGUGGUCACCAAGCUUUCUGCUACAACUUGAAAGAGAAGUGAGACAAAGAGAUACCAUCCUCUGAAAGGAAAAUUUCUCUUGCUGCUAGUAGGUAUGUCUUGGAAUGGAAAGAAAAGUUACUGCCCUGUGCAGCUGGCUGUACUAGAGAAGUAAAGCCCAGUGGCAUCUAAGUGGAAGAGAAGGCAGGAGCAAUGGAGUUUGCUGAGAGGGUUGCAUAUCGGCCAGUGUUUUUGUGAGCCCUCCAGAAAAUCUUCAUAGUGGUGUCAGUACUUCUAAAAAUGUUUGAUGGUGGUUUUGGAAAAAGGAAGCUAAAGUUGCUGUCUUUUACUGUCUAUUGUCUGAUAAGGGAAGAGUCCUUUAUCUUCUUUCUGCCUGAGGCAGAAAGACAGGAAAAAGGAGAAAAAAUAAAAAUAAAAUUAAUUUGACCUAAAAUACA
rnacentral:lncRNA from 1 species